CAGGUGGCUGGUCUCCCCGGUGGCAUCUUGAGGGACUGGCUGGUCUCCGCGGCUCAGUGGUCUGGUCUCCCCGGCAGCAUCUUGAGGGACUGGCUGGUCUCCGCGGCUCAGUGGUCUGGUCUCUGUCUCCCUCCCUGCAAGAGUCUGGCAGAGUUUAGCGCCAAGAAUGUGUGUGUGUGUGUGUGUGUGUGUGUGUGUGUGUGUGUGUGUGUGUCUCUCUCUCUCUCUCUCUCUCUCUCUCUCUCUCUCUCUCUCUCUCUCUCUCUCUCUCUCUCUCUCUCUCUCUCUCUCUCUCUCUCUCUCAGCCCCCAGGCCCCCCAGGGUGUACCCCCCACAGGGUGUAGACAACCCCCCACAGACACAUGCCCCCACAGACACAUAAAGUAACCCCCCCCCCCUCUCUCUCUCUCUCUCUCUCUCUCUGCAAGAAGUGUCAUUUUGGUCAAUAAAUAUUCAAGCAAUUUCUGGUAUUUUUUUGUCCAUUCUGCAAAGUUUUCAACCCUGGAAUAAGACACAGACCUUGAUAAAAGUGGAGAUAACAGGGAAACCAAGAGGAGGAGGAGGAAGAGGAAGACAGGAGGAGGAAGAGGAAAGAUUAAGCUAUUUUUUGGUGUAGGAGAAAAGGAGGAAGAGAGGAAGGAAAGUGGAGGAAAAUGGAGUCAAACUUGGAGGAGGAAAUGAACGAAACCACCAAGAUUACGCUGGAGAAACACACAGACCUUGAUAAAAGUGGAAAUAACAGGGAAACCAAGAGGAGGAGGAGGAAGCGGAAGACAGGAGGAGGAAGAGGAAAGAUUAAGCUAUUUUUUGGUAUAGGAGGAAAGGAGGAAGAGGUGGAGGAAAGUGGAGGAAAAUGGAGUCAAACUUGGAGGAAGAAAUGAACGAAACUACCAACAUUAUGCCGGAGAAAUACACAGACCUUGAUAAAAGUGGAGAUAACAGGGAAACCAAGAGGAGGAGGAGGAAGAGGAAGACAGGAGGAGGAAGAGGAAAGAUUAAGCUAUUUUUUGGUGUAGGAGGAAAGGAGGAAGAGGUGGAGGAAGGAGGAGAAAACGGAGGAAACAUGGAGAGAAUAAGUGAGGGAAAUGACCUGUUCUUGAGGCAGCCCCUGACCUGAUGAAGCCUGGGGCCUGAGCAUACACAGGGGGUGCAUUGCUUCACUCACCCACCACCUCCAUGUGACCCCCCCCCCAAGCCAUGAGGUGCGUGGGUGUCCCCCUGGUGGUCUCCUGGGCUCACUGGAGGGCUGAGUCUGGUCUCAUCUCGGCUCCU